CAAUAGCGUAUAUUAAAGUUGUUGCGGUUAAAAAGCUCGUAGUUGGAUUUCUGCCGAGGACGACCGGUCCGCCCUCUGGGUGAGUAUCUGGCUCGGCCUGGGCAUCUUCUUGGAGAACGUAGCUGCACUUGACUGUGUGGUGCGGUAUCCAGGACUUUUACUUUGAGGAAAUUAGAGUGUUUCAAGCAGGCUUACGCCUUGAAUACAUUAGCAUGGAAUAAUAAGAUAGGACCUCGGUUCUAUUUUGUUGGUUUCUAGAGCUGAGGUAAUGAUUAAUAGGGACAGUUGGGGGCAUUCGUAUUAACGCGUCAGAGGUGGAAUUCUUGGAUUGCGUUACGACGAACUACUGCGAAAGCAUUUGCCAAGGAUGUUUUCAUUGA
rnacentral:rRNA from 1 species